rnacentral:rRNA from 1 species
CCUACGGGAGGCUGCAGUGGGGAAUAUUGGACAAUGGGGGGAACCCUGAUCCAGCCAUGCCGCGUGUGUGAAGAAGGCCCUCGGGUUGUAAAGCACUUUCAGUGAGGAAGAACGCCUGGUGGUUAAUACCCAUCAGGAAAGACAUCACUCACAGAAGAAGCACCGGUUAACUCCGUGCCAGCAGCCGCGGUAAUACGGAGGGUGCGAGCGUUAAUCGGAAUUACUGGGCGUAAAGCGCGCGUAGGUGGCUUGAUAAGCCGGUUGUGAAAGCCCCGGGCUCAACCUGGGAACGGCAUCCGGAACUGUCAAGCUAGAGUGCAGGAGAGGAAGGUAGAAUUCCCGGUGUAGCGGUGAAAUGCGUAGAGAUCGGGAGGAAUACCAGUGGCGAAGGCGGCCUUCUGGACUGACACUGACACUGAGGUGCGAAAGCGUGGGUAGCAAACAGGAUUAGAUACCCGGGUAGUC